UAGCCAGCAAGAAUGACGCUGCAACAGGAUUCUU
rnacentral:piRNA from 1 species